rnacentral:rRNA from 1 species
GACGUAGGGCGCGAGCGUUGUCCGGAUUUAUUGGGCGUAAAGAGCUCGUAGGUGGUUUGUCGCGUUGUUCGUGAAAACUCACAGCUUAACUGUGGGCGUGCGGGCGAUACGGGCAGACUGGAGUACUGCAGGGGAGACUGGAAUUCCUGGUGUAGCGGUGGAAUGCGCAGAUAUCAGGAGGAACACCAAUAGCGAAGGCAGCUCGCUGGGACGUUACUGACACUGAGGCACGAAGGCCAGGGGAGCAAACGGG